rnacentral:lncRNA from 1 species
GUCGUUCCUCCGCGUUACAGAGCUACAGCGGUCUCCGGGUGGCGAAGUGCGGAGACGGGGUUUUGGAGACGGUGGAUGGAGGAGGGGGAGGGAAAGCUGCCAACUUUGGAUACCAACCCCGUACACCCACCGAAGGGGAUGUCCCACUUUUUCCAGCGCUGGGAGCAAAAAGAUAACAGUGAGCGAGGUUGAAAACACCUGACAGUGAAAAGAGCAAUUUGAAGAAAAACAAAAUUUAUCUUCAAUGUGAAAAGCAAUUUAUAAAAAUCCGAAUACUUGCCAGGAGCAACUUGACAAAAAAGACAAAGGUGGUAGAAGAAAUGUAACCAGCCCACAAUUCCAAUGUUGAUAACAGAUGAGCUCCCUUUCAAGGUGACUGACAUUUACACAAGUACACAGAGCAAGAAGAAGGUCUGAGUGAACUGCCAAGCAUUUUAACUUCUCCUGAGACCAAGUACAUCAACAGUUCUCUUGGAAAAGAACAACUGAUUUGGGAGUCUAGCAGACUGCCAGCUGCAAGACAUUCAUCCAGCAUCAGGAACACAAUGGGCCUUCAUUUGCCUGCCUUUCUGAGGGCACCAAUCAAAAGUAACAGCUGCCACCUUUUUCUAUGAGACUUGAUUAUAAUUUUCUAUGGCCAAGGGUUUGCUGUGACACUUCCACAUCAUUCUUCAGGAGUCUACUCCUAUGUAAAUCUUCUGCAGGUUGUGCAGUGGACUUCACCUAGUCUCCCAUCUCCAGCUAAUUUGGCCAAGAAUAGUCACCUGGCGCAAGGUGGGGAGGGAGCUCUCAAUUGGCCAGCAACUUCUGACGUGUGACCUGACUGAACAAUGAGAGGCUCGAGUGAAAUUACCAGCUGGUAGUAGGACAGAGGAUAUAGAUACAUGGAAUGGAGCUGAGCCAAAUUAAUGACAAAGGACUAGACAAGAAUGACUGUUGAUGAUCACCUAUGCUGAGAUCACAAAGCUGCCCCGAGUCCAGAAGCAGGUUCACUGAGGGAGGCUCAACCAUGUUACCAAUCUUGUUUGAGAUUAAUGUUCCUUGUUGUAAACCUCAAGUCUGUUUCUUGCAAUCAAACCAUUCUAAAUUGAAACAACUACUUAGAAAGUGUUUCUAUGGGUUCAGUGGGACAUUUCAACCAAAUGAAAUAUGAUAAUGAUCUUAAAUGAACUAACAAUAGUGUUGCAGAAAUAAAAUACAAAUACCAGAAAGA